rnacentral:rRNA from 1 species
AGAGUUUGAUCAUGGCUCAGGACGAACGCUGGCGGCGUGCUUAACACAUGCAAGUCGAACGAUGAACCACUUCGGUGGGGAUUAGUGGCGAACGAGUGAGUAACACGUGGGCAAUCUGCCCUGCACUCUGGGACAAGCCCUGGAAACGGGGUCUAAUACCGGAUACUGACCCGCUUGGGCAUCCAAGCGGUUCGAAAGCUCCGGCGGUGCAGGAUGAGCCCGCGGCCUAUCAGCUUGUUGGUGAGGUAAUGGCUCACCAAGGCGACGACGGGUAGCCGGCCUGAGAGGGCGACCGGCCACACUGGGACUGAGACACGGCCCAGACUCCUACGGGAGGCAGCAGUGGGGAAUAUUGCACAAUGGGCGAAAGCCUGAUGCAGCGACGCCGCGUGAGGGAUGAUGGCCUUCGGGUUGUAAACCUCUUUCAGCAGGGAAGAAGCGAAAGUGACGGUACCUGCAGAAGAAGCGCCGGCUAACUACGUGCCAGCAGCCGCGGUAAUACGUAGGGCGCGAGCGUUGUCCGGAAUUAUUGGGCGUAAAGAGCUCGUAGGCGGCUUGUCACGUCGGUUGUGAAAGCCCGGGGCUUAACCCCGGGUCUGCAGUCGAUACGGGCAGGCUAGAGUUCGGUAGGGGAGAUCGGAAUUCCUGGUGUAGCGGUGAAAUGCGCAGAUAUCAGGAGGAACACCGGUGGCGAAGGCGGAUCUCUGGGCCGAUACUGACGCUGAGGAGCGAAAGCGUGGGGAGCGAACAGGAUUAGAUACCCUGGUAGUCCACGCCGUAAACGGUGGGCACUAGGUGUGGGCGACAUUCCACGUCGUCCGUGCCGCAGCUAACGCAUUAAGUGCCCCGCCUGGGGAGUACGGCCGCAAGGCUAAAACUCAAAGGAAUUGACGG